CAGAAGCAAGAGUAAAUCAGAAGUAUACAUUCGAAAAGUUGUCCACGUUGCAUAGCAGAGGAACUAAUUCAAUUCAAUUAACACUGGGCCAAGCAUCCAGAAUGAAAAGGUGGACGUCUCGCACUCCCCGCAUGGCAUCUUGUAUUGCCUAAGAAAUGGGCUGCUGUGUGUGUGUGUGUGUCUACGACCCACAGUGGAGACAGAGGGUGAGGCCUGGCCCUUCUACAGCACCCUGUGUCCAGAGCAGAACUAGGUCAACAGAGACCGCUGGUUGGUGAGUUGGAACGAUGCUGCGCUCUCACACACAGGAAAGAAAAGGAGGGAAAAAAGGAGAAAAUCCUUGCCUUCCAUUGAGGGAUAAUUAGAGAGUGUUUGACCUAUUUGUCCCCUUAAAUAAACCGUUGGCCAUUUAGUCGAGAGCAUGCCCUCCA